ACAGAGGCGGCAAGCUUUGUUCGGAAUUAUUGGGCGUAAAGAGCAUGUAGGCGGCUAUUUAAGUCGGUUGUUAAAGCCUUCCGCUUAACGGAAGAAUGGCGGUCGAAACUGCAUGGCUUGAGGUCGGGAGGGGAGAGUGGAACUACUGGGGGAGAGGUGAAAUGCGUAGAUAUCAGAAGGAACGUCGGCGGCGAAAGCGACUCUCUAGACCGUAACUGACGCUGAGUGUGCGAAAGCUAGGGGAGCAAACGG
rnacentral:rRNA from 1 species